rnacentral:rRNA from 1 species
CUAUACAUGCAAGUCGAGCGAACAGAUGAAGUGCUUGCACUUCUGACGUUAGCGGCGAACGGGUGAGUAACACGUAAGGAAUCUACCUAUAAGCGGGGGAUAACAUUCGGAAACGGGUGCUAAUACCGCAUAAUAUCUUCUUCCGCAUGGAAGAAGAUUGAAAGACGGCUCUGCUGUCACUUAUAGAUGACCUUGCGGUGCAUUAGUUAGUUGGUGGGGUAACGGCCUACCAAGACGAUGAUGCAUAGCCGACCUGAGAGGGUGAUCGGCCACAUUGGGACUGAGACACGGCCCAAACUCCUACGGGAGGCAGCAGUAGGGAAUCUUCCGCAAUGGGCGAAAGCCUGACGGAGCAAUGCCGCGUGAGUGAAGAAGGCCUUCGGGUCGUAAAACUCUGUUAUAAGAGAAGAACAAAUUGUAGAGUAACUGCUACAGUCUUGACGGUAUCUUAUCAGAAAGCCACGGCUAACUACGUGCCAGCAGCCGCGGUAAUACGUAGGUGGCAAGCGUUGUCCGGAUUUAUUGGGCGUAAAGGGAGCGCAGGUGGUUUCUUAAGUCUGAUGUGAAAGCCCACGGCUUAACCGUGGAGGGUCAUUGGAAACUGGGAAACUUGAGUACAGAAGAGGAAUGUGGAACUCCAUGUGUAGCGGUGGAAUGCGUAGAUAUAUGGAAGAACACCAGUGGCGAAGGCGACAUUCUGGUCUGUUACUGACACUGAGGCUCGAAAGCGUGAGGAGCAAACAGGAUUAGAUACCCUGGUAGUCCACGCCGUAAACGAUGAGUGCUAGGUGUUGGA